rnacentral:rRNA from 1 species
GACGAACGCUGGCGGCGUGCCUAAUACAUGCAAGUCGAGCGAAGUUUUUCUGGUGCUUGCACUAGAAAAACUUAGCGGCGAACGGGUGAGUAACACGUAAAGAACCUGCCUCAUAGACUGGGACAACUAUUGGAAACGAUAGCUAAUACCGGAUAACAGCAUUAACUGCAUGGUUGAUGUUUGAAAGUUGGUUUUGCUAACACUAUGAGAUGGCUUUGCGGUGCAUUAGCUAGUUGGUGGGGUAAAGGCCUACCAAGGCGACGAUGCAUAGCCGACCUGAGAGGGUGAUCGGCCACACUGGGACUGAGACACGGCCCAGACUCCUACGGGAGGCAGCAGUAGGGAGUCUUCCGCAAUGGGCGAAAGCCUGACGGAGCAACGCCGCGUGAGUGAAGAAGGAUUUCGGUUCGUAAAGCUCUGUUGUUAGGGAAGAAUGAUUGUGUAGUAACUAUACACAGUAGAGACGGUACCUAACCAGAAAGCCACGGCUAACUACGUGCCAGCAGCCGCGAUAAUACGUAGGUGGCAAGCGUUGUCCGGAAUUAUUGGGCGUAAAGCGCGCGCAGGUGGUUUAAUAAGUCUGAUGUGAAAGCCCACGGCUCAACCGUGGAGGGUCAUUGGAAACUGUUAAACUUGAGUGCAGGAGAGAAAAGUGGAAUUCCUAGUGUAGCGGUGAAAUGCGUAGAGAUUAGGAGGAACACCAGUGGCGAAGGCGGCUUUUUGGCCUGUAACUGACACUGAGGCGCGAAAGCGUGGGGAGCAAACAGG